AAAGGAGUAAAAAGAAUGUUCGUAUGUAGACUGCCCCAUGAAACAGAAGUAUUCAGAAAGAAAAUUGUGGAAUCAUGAUGGACCAUAUCUGAAUACUGGGGAUAUGAAUGCUCAGGAAGGAGAAACCAGCAUAGUUACAUGUACCUACUUCCUGCUACCUAUGUGAAGCCAGGAGACGGAGCAGAUAUUAGAAGAUACUCACAUUCAAAAGUGCUCAGUGGGCUUGGAGACAGCACAGUGAUACAAGGCUUUGGAUUUUAUACUUGCAGAUGCUGAACAUUACAAAAAAACUUGGGGCUACUCAUGUAGUUUUAUAUCUUAAAGUGAAGAGCUAAAGAGAUGGAGGACUGGAGAUGGAGUGUGCCUCUAAGAUUUUUCCAGUGACAUUUUGCCAAAUUUAAUACAACAGUUGAAUUUGACUGAAAGUAAGUCUUGAAAAUUCAUGACUUUUUGCACAUAGCUAUGUUCAGCUAGUAUUUAGAUAGAGCAUUGUUUUAGGAUUGUUUUUAAUUUAAAUAGUUCACCCUAAAUAAGUGAACUUAGAGAGAAUUCACCCUUAGAGGUCUGAGGCUUGUUGAAAAAUCUGUAUGAAUGAUCCAGAAAGCUCCUUGAGAAUCUCUCUUAAAAUUCUUAGGUGCAAAUUACCUGAAUCAUAAUUUUUAUAUUUCUAAAUUAAGGAAAUAGGAAAAUAAUUGUUGGAAUG
rnacentral:lncRNA from 1 species